UGGGGAAUAUUGCACAAUGGGCGCAAGCCUGAUGCAGCCAUGCCGCGUGUAUGAAGAAGGCCUUCGGGUUGUAAAGUACUUUCAGCGGGGAGGAAGGGAGUAAAGUUAAUACCUUUGCUCAUUGACGUUACCCGCAGAAGAAGCACCGGCUAACUCCGUGCCAGCAGCCGCGGUAAUACGGAGGGUGCAAGCGUUAAUCGGAAUUACUGGGCGUAAAGCGCACGCAGGCGGUUUGUUAAGUCAGAUGUGAAAUCCCCGGGCUCAACCUGGGAACAGCAUCUGAUACUGGCAAGCUUGAGUCUCGUAGAGGGGGGGAGAAUUCCAGGUGUAGCGGUGAAAUGCGUAGAGAUCUGGAGGAAUACCGGUGGCGAAGGCGGCCCCCUGGACGAAGACUGACGCUCAGGUGCGAAAGCGUGGGGAGCAAACAGG
rnacentral:rRNA from 1 species